rnacentral:tRNA from 1 species
GCGAGAGUGGCGGAACUGGUAGACGCGCUGGACUUAGGAUCCAGUGGGCUUUGCACCCGUGAGGGUUCAACUCCCUCCUCUCGCACCA